GAUUAACGCUGGCGGCAGGCCUAAUACAUGCAAGUCGAACGGUAACAGAUCCAGCAAUGGAUGCUGACGAGUGGCGCACGGGUGCGUAACACGUAUGCAACCUACCUCUAUCCGAGACACAACUUCGAGAAAUUGGAGCUAAUAUCUCAUAAUAUCUUUAUUAGGCAUCUAAUUUAGAUUAAAGUUUUAAUGGUUAGAGAUGGGCAUGCGAAGCAUUAGCUUGUUGGUAAGGUAACGGCUUACCAAGGCUACGAUGCUUAGGGGUUCUGAGAGGAUGUACCCCCACACUGGUACUGAGAUACGGACCAGACUCCUACGGGAGGCAGCAGUAAGGAAUAUUGGUCAAUGGACGAAAGUCUGAACCAGCCAUGCCGCGUGCAGGAAGAAUGCCCUAUGGGUUGUAAACUGCUUUUGUACGGAAAAAAAUCCUUAAACGUGUUUAAGGUUGAUGGUACCGUAAGAAUAAGGAUCGGCUAACUCCGUGCCAGCCGCCGCAGUAAGAC
rnacentral:rRNA from 1 species